rnacentral:rRNA from 1 species
ACGCUGGCGGCGUGCUCCUACAUGUGCAGUCGAACGAGUUUGCUUUUAACUGAAGGCGGUGCUUGCACCAACUGAUUUACAGAAUAAACGAGUGGCGGACGGGUGAGUAACACGUGGGUAACCUACCCUAAAGUGGGGGAUAACAUUUGGAAACAGAUGCUAAUACCGCAUAAUAUUAAAAACCACAUGGUUUUUAAUUGAAAGACGCGCGUAAGCUGUCACUUUUGGAUGGACCCGCGGCGUAUUAGCUAGUUGGUAAGGUAACGGCUUACCAAGGCGAUGAUACGUAGCCGACUUGAGAGAGUGAUCGGCCACAGUUGGGACUGAGACACGGCCCAAACUCCUACGGGAGGCAGCAGUAGGGAAUCUUCCACAAUGGACGAAAGUCUGAUGGAGCAACGCCGCGUGAGUGAAGAAGGUUUUCGGAUCAUAAAACUCUGUUAUUGGAGAAGAACGUAUUUGGUAGUAACUGGCCAGAUAGUGACGGUAUCCAAUCAGAAAGCCACGGCCUAAUAACUACGUGCCAGCAGCCGCGGUAAUACGUGGGUGGCAAGCGUUGUCCGGAUUUAUUGGGCGUAAAGCGAGUGCAGGCGGUUGGAU